GCCGUGAAAAGGCACGCAGUUCUCCUGCCUCUUGGUAGGGGGCACUCGUGAGCUCAGGGAUUCUUCUUACGACUCCUCGACUGCAGAAUAAGUGACAGCAAGCUACAAUCUAGAGUUAGCAAGUCAAGUGCAGCCAAAAUGUACUUUCAAAAUGGAGGAUUACAUGUACAGAAGGAGCGGCACAUGGACUUCAUUUAUAAGUAAAGGGAGACCAAAUUAACAGAGACAAGCGUGGAGGAAGAGGAGGCCUUAAAGAGCUGCCUCACCCCAAAUGGUUUGUGACAGCAUCACUGCCUCUCUUCCAGCGGCUGCGUCUGGGAGCAGAACGUCGCAGGGCAUUGGCCGGAGACUAUGAAUCUGAGCCGGCCGUCGCUUCAGAGACGACAGGACAGGAAGUGAAGAGGGGCGGGUGUUUGGACCGCAGGAAGGAAAGGGAGCAAAAUAGGAAACGAGCAGACGGAGGCUCCGUUAAUGAGGUGAACGGCAAGAAUGGAAAAGGUGGACUUUGGAGUGCAGCCUGUGGAUUUUGUCUGCCAUCACCCACAUUACAACAGGAGGAAUCGUUUCCUUGCCAGAACAGACAGGAGGAAUAAUCGUACGUGAGCACAUGUGAGUAUUGCGUUACUGUAAGACAAAUUUGAAAAACCUGAACCUAUUGCUUAUAACCUUUUCAAUAAUAAGCAUUUUGUCAUGAUGGAAGGACAGCUAAUUACAUGCAAGAGGAUAAACACCA